UACAGGGGGGGCAAGCGUUGUUCGGAAUUACUGGGCGUCAAGGGCUCGUAGGUGGCCAACUAAGUCAGACGUGAAAUCCCUCAGCUUAACUGGGGAACUGCGUCUGAUACUGGAUGGCUUGAGUUUGGGAGAGGGAUGCGGAAUUCCAGGUGUAGCGGUGAAAUGCGUAGAUAUCUGGAGGAACACCGGUGGCGAAGGCGGCAUCCUGGACCAACACUGACGCUGAGGAGCGAAAGCCAGGGGAGCAAACGGG
rnacentral:rRNA from 1 species